UACGGGAGGCAGCAGUGGGGAAUAUUGCACAAUGGGCGCAAGCCUGAUGCAGCCAUGCCGCGUGUAUGAAGAAGGCCUUCGGGUUGUAAAGUACUUUCAGUCGUGAGGAAGGUGUUAAGGUUAAUAACCUUAGCAAUUGACGUUAGCGACAGAAGAAGCACCGGCUAACUCCGUGCCAGCAGCCGCGGUAAUACGGAGGGUGCGAGCGUUAAUCGGAAUUACUGGGCGUAAAGGGCACGCAGGCGGUUAAUUAAGUUGGAUGUGAAAUCCCCGGGCUUAACCUGGGAAUGGCAUUCAAGACUGGUUAGCUAGAGUCUUGUAGAGGGGGUAGAAUUCCGAUGUCGUAGCGGUGAAAUGCGUAGAGAUGUGGAGGAAUACCGGUGGCGAAGGCGGCCCCUGGGACAAAGACUGACGCUCAUGUGCGAAAGCGUGGGGAGCAAACAGGGAUUAGAUACC
rnacentral:rRNA from 1 species